rnacentral:rRNA from 1 species
UACAGAGGGGGCAAGCGUUGUUCGGAAUUACUGGGCGUAAAGGGCGCGUAGGCGGCCUUCUAAGUCGAACGUGAAAUCCCCGGGCUCAACCCGGGAACUGCGUCCGAUACUGGAAGGCUUGAAUCCGGGAGAGGGAUGCGGAAUUCCAGGUGUAGCGGUGAAAUGCGCAGAUAUCAGGAGGAACACCGGUGGCGAAGGCGGGUCUCUGGGACGGUACUGACGCUGAGGCGCGAAAGCGUGGGAGCGAACAGG